rnacentral:rRNA from 1 species
AACACCCCAACAGCUAGCUCAAUCAUCAAAAUUUAACAAACAACAUCAACUAAAUCCUAAUACCCUAAAAUCAUAAAGUAAACCAUUUUUCCGCCCAAGUACGGGAGACAGAAAAGGAAUUCCGACGCAAUAGAAAAAGUACCGCAAGGGAAAGCUGAAAGAGAAUUGAAAAAACCCAGUGAAGGUUAUAAAAGCAGAGAUGCGACCUCGUACCUUUUGCAUCAUGAUUUAUCAAGUAACGAACAAGCAAAGAGCCCUUUAUGUUUGUAUCCCCGAAACUUAGCGAGCUACUCCAAGACAGCCUAUUGUAGGGCAAACCCGUCUCUGUGGCAAAAGAGUGGGAAGAGCUUUGAGUAGAGGUGAUAGACCUACCGAGCCUAGUUAUAGCUGGUUACCUGAGAAAUGAAUAGAAGUUCAGCCCUUUAAGCUCUUCCCCCAAAUAAGGUCGCACCUUGCAACGGUCCGAAGUGAGUUAGUGGAGUUAUUCAAAAGAGGGACAGCUCUUUUGAAAAGAGAUACAACUUUUCAAGCAGGUCAAAGAUCAAAACAUGUAAGGAAACACACCCAAGUGGGCCUAAAAGCAGCCACCCCAUAAGAAAGCGUUAAAGCUCAAGUGUACAAAACCUUCAAUUUCGACAGAAUCAUCCUAUACCCCUUAAAAUAUCAGGUCCACCCAUGCCCCCCAUGGGUAAGAUCAUGCUAGAAUGAGUAAUAAGAGAGUAAGACUCUCUCCCACAAGCACCCCCGUAAGUCAGAACGAACCCCCACUGAAAAUUAACGCCCCCAGCCCCAAGAGGGAAAUGAGAUAUAAGUUUAAAUCAAGAAGAGACCCCAACCCAGAUAAGCGUUAACCCCACACAGGCGUGCCAGGGAAAGACAGAAGGAAAAAGAAGGAACUCGGCAAACACUGGCCUCGCCUGUUUACCAAAAACAUCGCCUCUUGCCCAAACAAUAUAAGAGGUCCCGCCUGCCCUGUGACGAAAGUUUAACGGCCGCGGUAUUUUGACCGUGCGAAGGUAGCGUAAUCACUUGUCUUUUAAAUAGAGACCUGUAUGAAUGGCAUAACGAGGGGUAAGCUGUCUCCUUUUUCUAGUCAAUGAAAUUGAUCUGCCCGUGCAGAAGCGGGCAUACUACCAUAAGACGAGAAGACCCUAUGGAGCUUAAGACACCAAGGCAGGUCACGUCAAAAACCCCAAUUCAACGGGAAUAAACCAAGUGAUAUCUGCCUCCCUGUCUUUGGUUGGGGCGACCGCGGAGAAAUAAAUAACCCCCACGUGGAACGGAUAUAUUAUCCUAAAGCAAGAGCCACAGCUCUAGCAAACAGAAAGUCUGACCAACAAGAUCCGGCAAAGCCGAUCAACGGACCCAGUUACCCUAGGGAUAACAGCGCAAUCCCCUUUUAGAGCCCAUAUCGACAAGGGGGUUUACGACCUCGAUGUUGGAUCAGGACAUCCUAAUGGUGCAGCCGCUAUUAAGGGUUCGUUUGUUCAACGAUUAAAGUCCUACGUGAUCUGAGUUCAGACCGGAGAAAUCCAGGUCAGUUUCUAUCUAUGAAUGCACUCUUUUCUAGUACGAAAGGACCGAAAAGAGGGGGCCCAUGCUUUAAGUAAGCCCCGCCCCUACCUAGUGAGCCCCACUAAAAAAGGUAAAGGGGGUCGCCCCUGUGUCCGAGAAAAAGACAA